rnacentral:rRNA from 1 species
UUUCUGGCGACCAUAGCGAGAUGGCCCCACGCCUUCCCAUUCCGAACAGGACCGUGAAACAUCUUAGCGCCGAUGAUAGUGUGGCAUUCGCCAUGUGAAAGUAGGACAUCGCCAGAUCU